rnacentral:tRNA from 1 species
GCAUUGGUGGGUGAGUGGCCGAAUUCCCACCUUCCACGUGGGAGACCUGGGUUCGAUUCCUAAGCAAUGCA